GGCUUCGUGGUUUAGUGGUAUAAUUCUCGCUUAGGGUAACACCCCAAGCAUCCGCAUGCGAGAGGUCCCGGGUUCGAUCCCCGGCGAAGCCC